GUUUGGUGGGCGGGGCCGUGGCGGGCUCAAAUGGCGGCGGCGCUGGGCGCCUAGGCCGGCGGGGGCCAUGAGCGCCGCCCGGCCCCAGUUUAGCAUCGAUGAUGCCUUCGAGCUGACCCUGGAGGACGCGGGGCCUGAGCCCGAGUCCAGCGGGGUCGCCCGCUUCGGGCCGCUGCACUUCGAACGCCGGGCUCGGUUCGAGGUGGCUGAUGAAGACAAGCAGUCCCGGCUACGCUACCAGAACCUGGAAAAUGAUGAGGACAGAGCCCAGGCCUCUCCGGAGCCGGAUGGGGGAGUCAGCACCAGGGAUUCUGGGCACAUGUCUGUCCGCAGCUCGCAGUGGUCCUUCAGCACCAUCAGCAGCAGCACACAGCGCUCCUACAACGCCUGCUGCAGCUGGACCCAACAUCCUUUGAUCCAGAAAAACCGCCGAGUAGUGCUGGCCUCCUUCCUGCUUCUGCUGUUGGGGCUAGUGCUUAUCCUGGUCGGCGUGGGACUGGAGGUGGCCCCCUCUCCAGGUGUCUCCAGUGCCAUCUUCUUUGUGCCGGGCAUCCUGCUGUUAGUCCCAGGAGUCUACCAUGUGAUCUUCAUCUACUGCGCUGUCAAGGGCCGCCGGGGCUUCCAAUUCUUCUACCUGCCCUACUUUGAGAAGUGAGCUGCAACUGGCCAGUGGCUCACCAGUGAUCCAAGACCUCAGGUCACCUCCACGUGUCCACAGGGUAUUCCUCCAACCUACACCUGGUUCUGUUCCUUUCACCUGGAAGGCAGAGGCCCCUGGGACCCUCACAACCAGCAGGCCCCUUUGAAUUUGCUCAGGAAGUUUAGAGCCAGCCUGGGAAUAUUGCCUCUUACCUGAUGUGUGCCUUAACUUAUUCCUGGGUUCUGGACUCCUGGGUUGGUGUAAUUUUGUGCUAAUAAAAGGGUAAUUAUUUCC
ensembl:processed_transcript Tmem134 transmembrane protein 134